rnacentral:rRNA from 1 species
UACCAGUACCCCACCUGCUGCGUGUCCGUCUCUCCGUCUACAGCGAUAUAGUCUGGGGCACGAGGGAGGGUGGCGACAUGUGUGGCCGGCCCCUAUAUACCCCUCAACAGGCUUUAUGAGGUGCCGGCUAGCUAGCGCGUGCUUUGCAUGGACGCGAGCGCCUUCCUAGCGCGGAAGAAAAAUAAACGACGACAACGCCCACCGGGCCCUGGCUGCCGCUGCACGCCGCCGUUUACCGCUGGGCGCCCGCAGUGCAUGCAUGCGUCGGACAAGCCGACGAGGUGGUGGUGGUCGAGCUGGUCACUGCACUGCCGCGGCCGCCGCUCUCGCCCAAAGUAUUCAGGUGUCCAAUACUGAUUAAGACGUGCGGCAGCGGCCUUUAGAGGUUGGAAACUCUGUUGAUUGAGACUACUUUCGACAUCGCAGCUGUACUCACUAUGACUACAAAGGAGAGUUAGUUUUAGUUGGUCCUUAUCGGCAUCUUCUAGAGGCUUCUUUGAAUUCUCUCGUCGAAGGGGGCUUCAAUUCGUCAAUGGACGAGAACUGUUUCGUCAAGGUUACGGGGCAGGUCCAUCCCAAGCACUGUUUGGAAAGUCUCGAGGCUGCUGACCAAUGGUUUAAUUAUCUUCAAUGGACGAUCCUCGAAACUUCCUGAACUCGCUGUAGGGAGCAUACUUAACCACAGCAAAACGACGACUCAUGGAAUAGCUCCGUUAGGCACUUAGUUCCUUUUUGUUUCACGGGUUGGACUUACAGCCACCUACGCAUGUAUAAGAUGUAAGUUUUAUGGAGUCCCAAUGGGUUCCUAAUUUACACCCAAGUCGUCAUGACCUUGUUUAUCUAGUAUGACCUUUUUUCUUCUGUGUACUGGUAACGUUCAACAAACUCUCGAAUGACCUGCUACUUUUCAAUCGUUACAAGGGAUGACGUCUUCUGGUAUUACUACUAGAACUACUAGUGCUUUUUAGAUGUGUAAGGUGGGGUGGUCAUUGUUGAUUAUAUUCAUGACAUGGACCGGUCCUCUUUAUAUUUGAAGGAGGUGUUCAUCAUGUUCAAAGAUUUUUCGCGGACAGUGUAGUUGGAUGUCUACUCAGAGACAGGUUGAACGUAUUAAACUAGUUUGCCUAUUUCUAAGAACUUCUGGUCAUGUGUCGGCUAGCUGUUUCCAACUAUUGACACAGACUUGCUUUCGAAGUUUUGUUUGACGUUGUCGAAGUUUAAUUCUUUUGGUUCCUUUACCGUCGGAACCAGGUCCUUCUCUAAGUCUUCCGAUACAAUGGCUACUAACUACUACGUACAGGUCCUUCAAGAGAUGUGUUACUACUACGUUGAAACUGCUUUGCUUGAUAUCCUUGUGUUUCAGGUACAGUGAGGUUAGAUCUACUUCGACAAGAGUUAAGAAGGGUCAGACGAGUUGACCAAGUGCUUUGAUCGUGAGUACAACUACAGUGGGUCGUCAACUGUCGGCCUUGUGGCCGUAGAGGUUGGAAGUACUUACUUUGAAAUCUUUAACCAUGAGUACUUAGUCUUGGUCCUUGGUUAAAACACUUGUAACUUCCACAGCUUCGACUGUUGAAGGUAGGACGAAGCGGUUACGAACGAGUCUAAUGAGUCAUGCUCGGAAGAAGAAGAUUUCUUAACUGAUGGUGCCUAGUCUAACAACUCCGACUUGGACGACGAACAUUUCUAGGUAACCACCUUUCGUAAACGUGAAAAGUUUUAGAGUUCAGACUACGAUGUCGUACAAGACGUUGUUGGCGGAAUCUUUCUGUUCUCUGAAAACAACGGUUACACCAUGGCAGUAGUUUAUUAAGACGAAGAUGUGUAGGGGGUCUUAAUCAGAGACUUCAGUAGCAAGGGUGUUGACGUUAACAAUAAGGGUUGUAACGACGUCUGGUUCAGGUCAGUGUAAGACAAGUUUGACUCUCUUCGUUGUACGGUUCACUUCUAAGUAGUUAUUACUUCAAACAACCAUGACUACCAGUUCGCCUAUCACGAAAAGAAGAUGGACAAUGAUCACGAGUAUUACACGAACCUGUACCGUUGGUUCCCCUAGUCGGUCUCUCAUUACGUAAACGACAAGUUGUAGGUGUUGUCCUAAGUAGGUUUCUACAAAACGUACUUCAUCCAUUAUGGCAAUGAUACCGUGGUUGACGACUACCUUAAGUUCUCUAACGGAAGUAACUAGGUUUUUGUUGUUUUAGAAGUAGAGUUUAUCUACAAAGACUACGUGUCUUUCGAUGGUUCUUAGUAUCAAAGGGUGUGUUAGGACGUAGUCUACAACAAGUUGAUGUUGUAUGUCUGUUCUGCUGUGAACUUCUACCGUAAGUCUUUGUUAGCUUACUAGUAAACCUUUUAGAACUACAGUCGUUUUAACUAUAAGAUAGCUGCUUUCUAUAACUUUAACGACUAUGACUAAGGUGAAGUUUUCUACAAGGUUUAUAAAGAAGGGGUGGAAAUAGGUAUGUUUAUCAUCCACUACAUAGUUAAUACAGUCAGUCAGUCUACUGGUCCCUUAUACUAUCCUACUUACAUGGUCGCCCACGAUGAUAAGUAUGAUGGGUUGUAUUACAACGUAGAUGCGAGGUCCUUCAGAGUUCUUAACUUCUAUUAGUCGGAUAACAAAACCUUUGAAGACAAGACGGGCUGGUAUCGAGGAGGUCAAACCUACAAAACGUCUAUCUGGGAAGAUUCAAUGGACUACUAUACGGUUUUGGUUCGUGACAUGGGAGUCUAUAGUGUAACGUUUAACCAGUUUGGAGUGGUUUCCUUAGGAGUUGUGACGUUCUAAGACUAUUUUUUUAUGAUCUGUUUACACACCUUUACUAAGAUACAUACUGUGGCUUAGAUCGUGGACGUUUACUAUUGUUGCUUAGUGAUUCAGAACGAUAGUUACUUCACGAGUCACUUUUGAAUCUUGUUUGAGAACGUAAUCGUCUUUAUGUCUGAGUCACGUGACGUCCUCUGUAUCUUAGUAGUAGAACAGUCAGAUGUGUUCUUCUACAACGUUUGCAACGGGUUUACCUAUAUUGACGUUUUUUUGUUCUACUUAGGGUUCUUGUAGGAAGGCUGUUAAGUAGACGGGCUCAUUCAAGACUCGCGUGGUUUCUACUACUAUAUAGAUUUCACCCGUUCGUUCUAAGUCUGAGAGUAUGAAGAAUAAAUUGAGGAUCUGUGUCGAAGUCUCUAUAUCUCUAUCAAGUGUAUCGGCUACUUGGAAGUAGAGGAUUUUGUUAACUAACACUGGUGUAGAGAUUCGAACGACUCGGUAAUGGUCUACCUCUUACAAAACUAACACGACCAUCGUAUUUAGGAAGAUACUUCUACUCUUUUGUCGCAAUAGUCUUCUUUCUCCUCUAGCAGCUUCCAUAUAGACUCGAGUAUUUCUUCUUCGUUAUAGACCACUUCUUCAACUUGCUGUACAUGUUAUGAGAACAGCGGACAUCGUUCAAGGCUCCAAAUGCUUUCUACACGUUUUUAUACUACACCAAUGACAGGCACCGUGAAUACAUACUAACCCCUAGUUUCUGGUUCUAAUAUAACCUGGUCUGAUAAUAUGAUAAAGACGGAUGUGAUAGCCUGUUGGUAACCUAAGACCGACAGUAAUUGGAGUGCGUUUUGUGUUAACUUUAAAUACUGAGAUUGAAUCUUCAGUUUCUUCCACUUGUGGGCGUGUCCCAAUACAACCUCUUGUACCGGUCGUUAGAGGUUUUUAGUAACUUACUAACAGAGGUGUUCUCACGAAAGCGUAAAUGACUAAAGGGUUACUUCAUAACAAGAUGACCUUUUGUUUGUUUGUUCAUAACCCGUUACCUACAGAAGUCCUUCCUUUAUACGAUAUAGGAACAAAUGGUGGCGAAGUUACUAGAGUUAGGUUCCUCCGGACUCUAAUUCUUCUAUCGUAGGCGGCACUUCUGUUGUUGUCUGACUAAGGAGGUGGUACAACAACGGAUACAUCGGAAGCGAUGCAUGACGUUCAAUAAAGUAUACUACAUGAUCAAAGUAGACUUUACUUGUUACAAGUAAGGCACGUUAGCAGCAAUACAUACCAUGAAAAUUUGAUAAUUCCAAUAAGGGACGAAAUAUUGGUUACAAACAUAACGGUCAUACAUUCCUUUACUGUCGUGUUGAAGAACGACAGAAGAUUAGUGAAAUACAUAGAGUAUAAAGGCGAUGAUUGUCAUAUAUAACGUGAGUGCCAGAG